AAUAGAUACCCCGGUAGUCCACGCCGUAAACGAUGAGUGCUAAGUGUUGGGGGGUUUCCGCCCCUCAGUGCUGCAGCUAACGCAUUAAGCACUCCGCCUGGGGAGUACGGUCGCAAGACUGAAACUCAAAGGAAUUGACGGGGGCCCGCACAAGCGGUGGAGCAUGUGGUUUAAUUCGAAGCAACGCGAAGAACCUUACCAGGUCUUGACAUCCCGGUGACCACUAUGGAGACAUAGUUUCCCCUUCGGGGGCAACGGUGACAGGUGGUGCAUGGUUGUCGUCAGCUCGUGUCGUGAGAUGUUGGGUUAAGUCCCGCAACGAGCGCAACCCUUAUUCUUAGUUGCCAUCAUUCAGUUGGGCACUCUAAGGAGACUGCCGGUGAUAAACCGGAGGAAGGUGGGGAUGACGUCAAAUCAUCAUGCCCCUUAUGACCUGGGCUACACACGUGCUACAAUGGACGGUACAAACGGUUGCCAACCCGCGAGGGGAGCUAAUCCGAUAAAACCGUUCUCAGUUCGGAUUGUAGGCUGCAACACGCCUACA
rnacentral:rRNA from 1 species